AGUCUUGGACUAUACCCCAGGGAGGAUGCCCUCAGAAUUUAGGGGGAGCAGUCCUUUCUCCAAAAGUUAAUUCACUCUGGAAAAGACCUCAGAGAUUGAUGGAAUGGUUCUGGAACCAAUUCCAGGAAGAUACCAAGGGUCAUGUGAGUGAGGGAGGGAGUGAAUGAGCAUAGGACAUGAGUGGUGCAUGGCUCUCAUUCUGAAUGCAGCGGUGAAAAGAAAAAAGAAAUCCACAAAGCUGGGAAAGACUCGUGAGUGUUCUCCAAACAGGCUGAGCAGGAAAAUAACAAAGCAGUGCCGAUAAAAUAUACAAAAAGCAUUUGAAAGAAGAAUUGCCAGGGUUUUAUUAAGACAGCAAAAAUAUUAAUUAAAUGCUUAUGAUCUGAUAAAACAACAUCCUCCGAUUUCUACCUGCAUCAUUUAGUCUUCAAAAACACAAAAUAUUAUGUGUUCAGCCUUAUUUUAUAUGUAAAGGCUUUAGAAACUGAAUAUUAAUUUACUUGUUUAAGUCUUGACAAUAGAUAACCAGAAUUCAGAUUUCUAACAUGGUGUGUUUGUAGUCAAAGCCAGAAGUCUUAACCAUUAAAUUAGUGUUACUCAACCUUUAAAAAUUAUAUACAUUUAACAUACUGCAAAGUGCAAAAAAUGAGUGUUUUGUUUAGUAACCUUUGCCACCAAGCAUGCAACAAACAAACAAACAAACAAACAAAAAGAAAAAAACCCCACGUUUUCAUUAUAAUGGAGAAUUCCCAUUUGCCCUGUCCAGUGAAUUUUUCUGUGUUCAAAAGCAAGUGCUUCACUUUCUUAUUUGCUUUCAAACCUAUUUGCUUUGCCGGUUGUCAAUGUAUAUGCUGUUUUUCUGUCCACAUUCUGCUGUCAAACAUUCUUUUAAGAUGCAGACAUUUCAUACAUACUGGAAGUUUGUUAUUUUUUAAUUCUGAAAUUGAUGCUACUCUAUUUACAACUCCACAAUUCAAUUUAACUUUUGCAUUUCAACAUUUGUAACAUUUACAAUUUGGUUCUAUUAUGAGCAACAAUUACUUUGAGAAUUCCUUUCUUUGUCUUUGGUGACAUAUGUUUUCAUUUAUCUUAGGUAAAUGACUAGGGACUGAAUGGUUGGGUCAAAGGGCUGGUGUUUGUUUAUAGGAUUUGCAGCAGUCCUCCACAGUUGGGUUAGAAAAUUUUCUACGCUGUCAGAAUAUAAGGGAGUUCCAUUUACUCAACAACCUUGCAAAAUUUUGUAGGAUUAACCUUUUUGAUUAUACUAUUGUUGUGAAUAUGAAAUUGUGUCUGUACAAUUUUAUAGUUCAAUUAUCAAUUAUAAGUAACUCUGUUCUUGUCAAAAUGACAUUGCUGGACAAUUUUAUUUUAGACAUUCCAGUAAAUGAGACACAAUGCUUAAUUUUGGUUUUUAUUUUUUUCUUUUCAAUUAAGACAUUAUUUUUAGAAAUUUAGUCGUUUUAUAAAAAAAUUGAGGGGAAAGUCCUAACAUCACUCUUGCUUAUAGAAUCUCCUUUAUUAUGAACGUUCUAUGUUAGUACAUUUGUUGCAGCUAAUAAGCCAUAUAGUCUUUUAAACUAAAUCCAUAGCUUGCUCAUUAGCAUGUGGAUAUUUCACCAUCCUAAAGAUUCCUCGUGCUUCAUCCUGCAGAACCCAGGCAAACUGUGGUCUUCUUUACUGCCUCCAAAAUGUGCCUUUUUAAGAAUGUAACACAUUCAUACAUCCAUAUCUUUAAGGGACUGCUUCCAAAACCUCUCUACAGAUAUCAACAACAGAAAACAUAUACUCUCUGUCAUUUUAACAUCUCCCACCAGACCAAUCCAUUUUUUACAAUAGAGGAAUUUGUACUGAAACAUAAUUCUAACCCAAAGUUCAUAAUUUACACUAUGUUUAACUCUUGGUAUUGUUCAUACUACAGGUUUUGACAAAUGUUUAAUACCAUAUGUCCAUCACUAUAGCAUCAUAGAAUAUGUGAUAUUUCUUUUCUUGUGUCUGGCUUACUUCAGAAAAUAUAGCACACUGGGAGAUCAGUGACCCAAACUACCCCAGUGGGUAAUAAAACUUCAAGGAAGCUUAGAUUCCUUUUGUGAUAUUGUGCCGUGUUCACAUACAGGCUAUGCAAUCCUCUGCAUAGUGAAAAUCAUCUCUAAAUGACUUUUAUUUCAUGCAAUGUAAAUUCAUACAAAUAGUUGUCAUAUAAUAUCUUUUAGGGAACACUGCUCUGAGGUCUUCUGUGCUUUUCAUUCUCUCCUUCACUGAUCUUUUAUUCUCUCUCUCUCUCUCUCUCUCUCCCUCUCUCUCUCUCUCUCUGGUUAAUGACACAUGUCUGCACACAUAUAAUUCACAUGCACACAUCUGCACACAAACUGUAACACAAUUUUAUUUUCUGAAUGAAACAUGUUAUCAAGCAUCUUUUAAUAGCCUUAGUUUUGCACACACAUAUUCUUUUGUGAGAUGUCUGCUUAAUUCUUUAGAUUAUUUUAUAGCUGCUUAUUUUCCUUCUUAUUGCUGCUUUGUAAGAGUUCCCCACAUGUGGUGCACAACAGUCUUUUAUCAGGCAUGCAUCUGCUUUGUGAUUUGUCCUUUUAUUUUACUAAUUUCUGAGAAUGAGUACAUUUAUGAAUUUAAAGAACAUUUGUACGUUGUCUUCGAGUGUUUCAUCCUAUUGCCCACUUCUUAAUUUGGUUGUCUUUUUAAUCUUUGAUUUUCCUAGAAAGCCUAUUAUUCAUGUUCAUUAAUUCCUCAUUUCAUAUUUUGAUAAUGUUUGAUUUUAAGUUUUUUGAAAAAUCCAUUUCAUUUAAGUUGUCCAAUUUAUUAGCUAACAGUUGUAAAUAUUAUAAACAUUCCUUUAUUUACAGGUAAUUUCUUCAUUGUUAAAGAAAAACUUAAUAAUUUUCAUUUAAGGAAGGGAAAGGAUAAAAGAAUCCCCCUCUGUGACUCUGUGACUGUCUCUGUAUAAUAUGGUAGUUUCACCAUGCAGUCUUAUUUUUUAUUAUAUUUUUAUUUAUUACUAAUAUUGCAUGUAUGUGUGGCAGAACGCAGAGGGAUCAUUUUCCACAGCAUGACUAUAGCAGGCAGAGGACAGCUUUGGGGAUUCAAUUCUCCCUUCAACCUCUGUAUGAAUUUUGGGGAUCAAACUGCAUUUUGUGCAUUCUUAAUAUAAUGGAUAACUCUCUCUCUCUCUCUCUCUCUCUCUCUCUCUCUCCCUCUCUCUGUCUCCUUUCACUCUCAUUCUCUUUUUCCAUUCUUUUCUGCUAGUAUUUUAACAAUGUACCAGGGUGUUUUUUUAAGUUUUAAAAAUGAAUUGUUUUCUUCUGUAAUUUUCCAUCAUAUUUUCUAUCUCAACUCAAUUUUGUUCUGUGCAAGUAAAUAUCAUUGAUUUUAAAAUAUUUCCUCUUUUGCAGUAUAGGUAUUUAUAGUCACAUAGAUUUUGUUGGUUUAUAAUAUAUAAUAUACUAAUAUCUGAAAAUGUUUGCUAUGUUUGGGCUUAUUACUAAUUUAAACAACUUCAUAAUUUUCUCUUUAACUCAAGGUAUAUUUAUAGUUUUGCUAAUUACAAAACAUUUUGACAUUUUAUGCAAAUUGUAAUCAUGUUACUUUCUAAUUUAUUUCCAUUGUAAACAGUGAACAUGUACAUUAUGACCACAGUCAUUAUAUAUAUUUUUCCAGCUUAAUUCUCUAUUUUAGGUUUAUUUUGAAAUAAUAAAUAAAAUGUAUUCUUGUGCAUUUUAGUUCUAUAAAACCUUGAGCAUAUUGUUUUCAUGAUCUAUAUCCAUACAGAUUUUCACCAUGGUGUAUCAAUUAUUCAAAGAAGUGUAAAAUUUCUAAUUAUGUUUAUAAAUUUGACUUAGUUUGACUUUUUAACUUAAUAUGACAUUAACAUUUUUGUUGCAUGAUGUUUUUGUAAAUUCUUAGGUUGCACAUAUCAUGUGUAAUUAUAACUUUUUAAUUGGACUCUUAAUUGAUGUGAAAUGCCUCUUUAUAUAUGUAGAUAUGUUCUGAAAUAUUCUUUGUUUGACACCAAUAGGGCCACACCUUCUUUCUCUAGCUUGGCCAUUAUCUAUUUUGUUUCAUCCUUCAGUCCUUGAACCUAUCCAAGUCAGUUACAUGAAGAUACAGUUCUUGGGAGCUUCAUUGAUGUCACAACUCAUGAGUUUUCAACUUUACAAUGGUGAAAAUAUGCACAGAUUGUGUGGAAACCAUGCUUUGGAUUGUUUCCUGGACUUGUGAUAGACUAUGUGACAUUCUCUCACAGUGAUGAGCAGUGACAGCAAGAUGUAGCUACAAGCCAGUCAUUCAUUCAGUCAUGAGAGUAAUCAAAUGAUACCCUACGGUGUUCAGUAUUACCAUGUUUUUGGAUUUUGUUUUAUCAUUUUGCUGUCCAUUAUACCUUCCUUAAAAAACAUCUGUAUAUUAAUGUGAUAUAGUCAACACUUUAUUAUAAAAUGUCUUUUUGUUAGAUGAUAUUGCCCAACUGUAGUCUGAAGUAAGUGUUCUGAACACAUUAACAUAGGCCGGGUUAACCUGUGCUGUUCAAUAUGUUAGGGGUAUUAAAUGUCAUUUUCAAACUAUGGACUUUCAAAUAUACAAUGGGCUAUUGGAGUAUAAUCCUGCCACAAACUGAAGAAAUCUGUAGAUAUGUAGUCUCUCUCUGUCUCUCUCUGUCUCUGUCUCUCUGUCUGUCUGUCUCUCUCUCUCUGAAUGUGUGUAUGAUGUGAACCUGUAAUGAAAGAUAUUAUAAUAACUUGGCUUACAAAAUUAUGGUUGAGAUUUGUAGGUUGAAUGUCAACAUGCUGCAACCCCAGCAAAACCUGUGGUUUACUUCCAAAUGUGGGCCUGUGCAUCCAAGGACAUGGGAAGUUGACAGUGAAGAGGCAGUCCAAACCUAGGCAGAGCCAAGACCCAAUAAGAACUAAGUUUCAGGUAGAGUUCAAAGGUAGGAAAAAAACUAUGAUGUCUCAGAAAGAAGGAAAUUUGACAGGGAAAGUUCUAUCCUCUUAAACAAAAGAGCAUCAGCUUCUUUUGUCUAUUCAGGCCAUAACCUGCUUGAAUGCAGCCUUCCUGAAUGAUUUAGGGUAUUAUGCUUUUUCAUUCUACCAGAUUAAACAGGAAUUUCAUCCAAAACACUCCCAAAGAUAUACUUGGAGUAUCUUUGAUUGAAUAGCCAGGUGUCAUAUGAUCCAGAUAAAUGCAUGCUAAAUUUAAUUACCAUACUCAAGUUUUGAUUUUAUAAACUAAAAAAAAUCAAGGAGUACUUCCUCCAUUAGUUGGGGAAAAACCAUCCAGUGUACUCUAUCCUAUUAGGGAAUACUUACUUAUAACAUUUAGUGUAACUACUGUUAAGAUUGGGUGUAAGUUGAGGGAUUUAUUUUUUCUAGGUUAUGUCAUCUGUUUUUGUUUCUCAUUUAGAAUUGAUCAAAUUUUAGCAUUUGAUUUUCUGUUCCUUCUUAACUUUUUCUUACCAUCUUUUUUUCUGUUAAUGUGCCAUACAAUAUAAUACUCUUAUUUUAUUUAUUCAGUGUUCUUUUGUUCUCUAGGCUAGCCAGCAACUCACUAUACCCCUGCCUAAGUCUCCUGUGCUGGGAUUACAAGUGCCCACAGCCAUGCCUGCUCCAUCACACUUCUCUUUAACCCCGCCUAUAUCAAAAUACUAUCUAAGUCAUGAAUAAGAGAUUUAGAGCAGUGCAAUUCUAUUUAAAAUCCUCAUAAGUUUUGAGUUCUCAUUGUCAUGAAUUUUACGUCUUAAUAUGACAAAAAUCUCAGGACAUUAAUUUGCCUUGCAGUGUGCUGUUACUAUGGAUAGUGAUUUUGUACCAUGCAUCUCAUAAAAGUAGAAAAUGGAUUUUGAAUGUUUCCAUUACAAAGAAGUGAUGAUGGAGGAGGACGAUAUGCUUAACCUGAUUAUCAACAUAUGAAUGUGUGGAGUCAUCACAUGGUACCUAUUAUUAUGUAAAGAUUUUAUGUUUUUAUGUAUUAGCUUCAAAAUUAAUUUAAAAAUGCAUUCAUUGGUUGUCAUCUGGCAAUAAGAUCAUUCUUAUUGCUGUUCAGCUCUAUGGAAGCUUUCCACGUUGUUACCCUUAUGAUACAUCUUUAUGUUUUGCUUUUGAAAGUUCAUAAACAGAAUCAUCUAUUUAUCAUGUUUGGGAUUCUAUAGCCUUAUUGGGCAAGCAGGUUAAUAUGAAUCACAAUUUUCCCUAAAUUCUAAGCCAUUCUCUCCUCCAAUAAUUCUGCCACUUUCUCUCUCCUACUACCCCUACAUCUCCAACUGUAAAUGCAUAUAUUCUUCUUCUUCAUGAGUAUUGGAUGCACUUUUACAUUCUUUUUCUUUUUUUUCUGCACUUCAGACUGAAUGUCUUUAUGUGUCUGUCUCCAGGCUCACAGUUCUGUUGUUCUGUUAUUAUAUUCAGUUUGCUCCUAAGUCCACUGAAUUCAUCAUUUGUUUUAUUAUUGUACUUUUCUAUUAAAUUAUUUCCACUUUUCCCUUUUGUAAUUAUUUUAGCUGAAAUAUCACAUUGUUUCAUGUGCACCCUCUACCUUUGUCAGAAUAUAAUGGAUCACAUUGAUUAUGGCUAUUAAAAAUCUAUCAGUUCAAGUGUCUAGUUUGUGUCUAAAUCCUCUUGUAAUGGAGAAUGCCAUGCUUAUCCAUGGAUCUUAUUAUUUCACAUCUGCUCAUUUCUGACUAUGUAUUG